rnacentral:misc_RNA from 1 species
AAGUCGUAACAAGGUUUCCGUAGGUGAACCUGCGGAAGGAUCAUUAUUGAACAAACUGGGUGGGUUGUUGCUGGCCUCUUGGGGCAUGUGCACACCUGCCUUUGUUUCUUCUCUUCGCCACCUGUGCACAUUUUGUAGACUUGGAUAUCUUUCGAGGCAACUCGGUCAGGGAGCUGUCGUUGAGCUCAAGGCUUGCUCGGCUGCUCCUACAUUUCCGGUCUAUGUUCUUUCUUGUACACCAUUGUAUGUUAUGUUGCAGAAUGUAUGAAUUGGGCAUUUAUAAAUCUAUUACAACUUUCAACAACGGAUCUCUUGGCUCUC